rnacentral:rRNA from 1 species
AUUGAACGCUGGCGGCAGGCCUAACACAUGCAAGUCGAACGAGUGGCGGACGGGUGAGUAAUGUCUGGGAAACUGCCUGAUGGAGGGGGAUAACUACUGGAAACGGUAGCUAAUACCGCAUACCAUCGGAUGUGCCCAGAUGGGAUUGGCUAGUAGGUGGGGUAAAGGCUGACCUAGGCGCCGAUCCCUAGCUGGUCUGAGAGGAUGACCGCCCACACUGGACCUGAGACACGGUCCAGACGCCUACGCGGGGCAGCAGUGGGGAAUAUGGCACAAUGGGGGCAAGCCUGAUGCAGCCAUGCCGCGUGUAUGAAGAAGGCCUUCGGGUUGUAAAGUACUUUCAGCGGGGAGGCGUUACCCGCAGAAGAAGCACCGGCUAACUCCGUGCCAGCAGCCGCGUAAUUC